UUGAACGCUGGCGGCAGGCCUAACACAUGCAAGUCGAGCGGAUGAAGGGAGCUUGCUCCUGGAUUCAGCGGCGGACGGGUGAGUAAUGCCUAGGAAUCUGCCUGGUAGUGGGGGAUAACGUCCGGAAACGGGCGCUAAUACCGCAUACGUCCUGAGGGAGAAAGUGGGGGAUCUUCGGACCUCACGCUAUCAGAUGAGCCUAGGUCGGAUUAGCUAGUUGGUGGGGUAAAGGCCUACCAAGGCGACGAUCCGUAACUGGUCUGAGAGGAUGAUCAGUCACACUGGAACUGAGACACGGUCCAGACUCCUACGGGAGGCAGCAGUGGGGAAUAUUGGACAAUGGGCGAAAGCCUGAUCCAGCCAUCCCGCGUGUGUGAAGAAGGUCUUCGGAUUGUAAAGCACUUUAAGUUGGGAGGAAGGGCAGUAAGUUAAUACCUUGCUGUUUUGACGUUACCAACAGAAUAAGCACCGGCUAACUUCGUG
rnacentral:rRNA from 1 species